CCUACGCGUGGCAGCAGUGGGGGAUAUUGGACAAUGGGGGAAACCCUGAUCCAGCGAUGCCGCGUGAGGGAAGAAGGUUUUCGGAUUGUAAACCUCUGUGGAGGGGGACGAUAAUGACGGUACCCCUUUAAGAAGCCCGGCCUAACUACGUGCCAGCAGCCGCGGUAAUACAUAGGGGGGGAGCGUUUUCCGAAAUAACUGGGUGUAAAGGGAGUGUGGGCGGGAAAGAAAGUCAGAAGUGAAAACUAUGGGCUGAACCCAUAGCCUGCUUUUGAAACUGUUUUUCUUGAGUGAAGUAGAGGCAAGCGGAAUUCCUAGUGUAGCGGUGAAAUGCGUAGAUAUUAGGAGGAACACCAGUGGCGAAGGCGGCUUGCUGGGCUUUUACUGACGCUGAGGCUCGAAAGCGUGGGGAGCAAACAGGAUUAGAUACCCCAGUAGUC
rnacentral:rRNA from 1 species